GAAGUAGGUAUACUAACUUUGACUUCUAAUCAUAAGUUAAAAUGGUUUAGAUCAUUUAUACUUCU
rnacentral:tRNA from 1 species